AUUACUCCUACGGAGGCAGCAGUGGGGAAUUUUGGACAAUGGGGGAAACCCUGAUCCAGCCAUCCCGCGUGUGCGAUGAAGGCCUUCGGGUUGUAAAGCACUUUUGGCAGGAAAGAAACGUCAUGGGCUAAUACCCCGUGAAACUGACGGUACUUGCAGAAUAAGCACCGGCUAACUACGUGCCAGCAGCCGCGGUAAUAAU
rnacentral:rRNA from 1 species